rnacentral:rRNA from 1 species
GACGAACGCUGGCGGCGUGCUUAACACAUGCCAGUCGAACGGAAAGGCCCUGCUUUUGUGGGGUGCUCGAGUGGCGAACGGGUGAGUAACACGUGAGUAACCUGCCCUUGACUUUGGGAUAACUUCAGGAAACUGGGGCUAAUACCGGAUAGGAGCUCCUUCUGCAUGGUGGGGGUUGGAAAGUUUCGGCGGUUGGGGAUGGACUCGCGGCUUAUCAGCUUGUUGGUGGGGUAGUGGCUUACCAAGGCUUUGACGGGUAGCCGGCCUGAGAGGGUGACCGGCCCCAUUGGGACUGCGAUACGGCCCAGACUCCUACGGGAGGCAGCAGUGGGGAAUAUUGCGCAAUGGGCGGAAGCCUGAUGCAGCAACGCCGCGUGCGGGAUGACGGCCUUCGGGUUGUAAACCGCUUUCGCCUGUGACGAAGCGUGAGUGACGGUAAUGUGUAAAGAAGCACCGGCUAACUACGUG